UAGCCGUCGAAGGUGGGACAAAUGAUUGGGGUGAAGUCGUAACAAGGUAGCCGUAUCGGAAGGUGCGGCUGGAUCACCUCCUUUCUAAGGA
rnacentral:rRNA from 4 species